UACGUAGGGUGCAAGCGUUGUCCGGAAUUAUUGGGCGUAAAGAGCUCGUAGGCGGUCUGUCGCGUCGGAUGUGAAAAUCCAGGGCUUAACCCUGGGCCUGCAUUCGAUACGGGCAGACUAGAGUUCGGUAGGGGAGACUGGAAUUCCUGGUGUAGCGGUGAAAUGCGCAGAUAUCAGGAGGAACACCGAUUGCGAAGGCAGCUCGCUGGGACGUUACUGACGCUGAGACGCGAAAGCGUGGGGAGCAAACAGG
rnacentral:rRNA from 1 species